rnacentral:rRNA from 1 species
CUUGCUCCUUGGGUGACGAGCGGCGGACGGGUGAGUAAUGCCUGGGGAUCUGCCCGAUAGAGGGGGAUAACUACGGGAAACUGUAGCUAAUACCGCAUAAUGUCUACGGACCAAAGUGGGGGCUCUUCGGACCUCAUGCUAUCGGAUGAACCCAGGUGGGAUUAGCUAGUUGGUGAGGUAAUGGCUCACCAAGGCGACGAUCUCUAACUGGUUUGAGAGAAUGACCAGUCACACUGGAACUGAGACACGGUCCAGACUCCUACGGGAGGCAGCAGUGGGGAAUAUUGCACAAUGGGCGCAAGCCUGAUGCAGCCAUGCCGCGUGUGUGAAGAAGGCCUUCGGGUUGUAAAGCACUUUCAGCGGGGAGGAAGGGUCACUAGUUAAUACCUAGUGGCAUUGACGUUACUCGCAGAAGAAGCACCGGCUAACUCCGUGCCAGCAGCCGCGGUAAUACGGAGGGUGCAAGCGUUAAUCGGAAUUACUGGGCGUAAAGCGCACGCAGGCGGUUUGUUAAGUCAGAUGUGAAAUCCCCGAGCUCAACUUGGGAACUGCAUUUGAAACUGGCAAGCUAGAGUCUUGUAGAGGGGGGUAGAAUUCCAGGUGUAGCGGUGAAAUGCGUAGAGAUCUGGAGGAAUACCGGUGGCGAAGGCGGCCCCCUGGACAAAGACUGACGCUCA